UACGUAGGGGGCAAGCGUUGUCCGGAUUUAUUGGGCGUAAAGAGCGUGUAGGCGGCCAUACAGGUCAGCUGUGAAAACUCGAGGCUCAACCUCGAGACGUCGGUUGAAACCGCUUGGCUAGAGUCCGGAAGAGGAGAGUGGAAUUCCCGGUGUAGCGGUGAAAUGCGCAGAUAUCAGGAAGAACACCCGUGGCGAAGGCGGUUCUCUGGGACGGUACUGACGCUGAGACGCGAAAGCGUGGGGAGCGAACAGG
rnacentral:rRNA from 1 species